UCUCUUGUUUCAUACGUACAGAGCUUGCGAAGGAUGAGUUGCAGCAGCGAGGGUAGUCGGUGCUGGGAUGUUACUGCCUUAAUGGAUACAUGUCCCUGGUGAACCGAUGCUAACAAGAAGAAGGCAAUGCAGAAAGGUCAUCAGCGUACCUUGACCAUUCUCUCAAGAGUUAAGAAUUCUUCUGUGCAAGGACGGCUUAGCUGAUCAAGGAAGUGUCAAGGUAAUGUUGCUAUGUGGUUCUGACCUGCUCGAGUCAUUCAGCAAGCCAGGGGUUUGGAUUCCAGAUCAGUCAAAGGAAGAAGUCGAACCUGAAGAAGUCCUCGGAAGAAUCACAGCUGCGUGUGCCCGGCUGGUUCAGGGGACGCGACAGGCGCUGGCGCCCUGCCCCGGCGGGCGUGGGUUCCAGUGCAGGGCGGGCA